CGUGGGUAACCUGCCCAAGAGAUCGGGAUAACACCUGGAAACAGAUGCUAAUACCGGAUAAUAACAGAUGAUGCCUAUCAACUGUUUAAAAGAUGGUUCUGCUAUCACUCUUGGAUGGACCUGCGGUGCAUUAGCUAGUUGGUAGGGUAACGGCCUACCAAGGCGAUGAUGCAUAGCCGAGUUGAGAGACUGAUCGGCCACAUUGGGACUGAGACACGGCCCAAACUCCUACGGGAGGCAGCAGUA
rnacentral:rRNA from 1 species